AAGAUGGCGGCGACGGCAGCAGUGUCUGGUGUCCUCCGCCGGUUGGGCUGGAGGCUCCUGCAGCUGCGGUGCCUGCCUGCUAAAGCUGCAGACAAAAUAUGCUUAGCAAACAUAAUGCGAUGUCAGCCAACAAAUCCAGUCUUAGGGUAUUUAUUUACCCAUGAAUGAAGUUGUGUCCACAAAAAGUUCAAGUGUAUUGAUGGCAACUUUAUAGUGGCUGGGCCCCCAAAAGCCAAACAUUCAUCAUUUUCAGUACUGUGCAAGCAGAUUACAACAGUGGCCCGCUGCCAAUCACCUCUGAUGCCACGUGCCUUCCACACCGCCGUGGGGUUCAGGUCUUCAGAAGAGCAGAGGCAGCAGCCUCCGCACUCUUCUCAGCAGCAUUCUGAGACACAGGGGCCAGAGUUUUCUCGUCCACCCCCCAGGUACACAGACCAGAGUGGAGAGGAGGAAGAGGACUAUGAGAGUGAGGAGCAGAUACAGCACCGCAUCUUGACGGCAGCCCUAGAGUUUGUGCCUGACCAUGGCUGGACUGCAGAGGCCAUUGCUGAAGGAGCCCAG
rnacentral:lncRNA from 1 species